GGUUGUUGAUGUUUAUCAUCAUUAGCAGCCACGGCAAGAAAAUUAAAGGCUUUUCCUUAGGAAACUGCGUAGCUUGGUGGCUAGACGGACCUGCGCUCAGAUCUUGCUUCCAUACCCUAGCCAUUUUGUGUCUAUGGAAGUCUCAUUCUCCUGGAGCUCAGUGACAAUGCUCGACACCUCCUCACCAACUUUUGAGGAGAGAAUGAAGAGGGGAUGGAGCUGAAUGGAACAAGGGGCCAUUCACUUAGAGGGGGUUCUACCAGGAUCUGGAGUCUUUGUUCCAGACUCUGCUCUUGAGAGAAACUCAGGCUAAGACAUUCUAUCAAUCAACUCACACAUUCAACAGUUAUUGAGCACAGACCGUGUGCAAGCCACUAUCAGCACUUUCCACAGUCCCUAGACUGUCGAACUUGGCACCACUACCCCAACUGGAGACGGAAGAAGGCAAGCCCUGGGGCACUGCUGACAGAAAGAAAGAAAGAAAGACAAAAGAAAAAAAGCAAUCCUGGCCAUAAUUCCCAUCUGCUAGCAGACCUCUGAGUAGACAGCUCCAAACCAGGAGUCAGGAAGCUCAGGUUCUAGUCCCAGCAUCACCACCAACUGGCUACAUGGUUGGCCAAGGCUUUUGUCAUCUAACUUCUCUAGGCCUCAAUUUACCCAUCUAUACAACGGAGAAGAAUAUUCCAACCAGGCAGCCAACAGGAGUCCAGAAGAGUGAGGCCCUUGACCCAGGGAAGAAGCAGGCCUAGAAAGCAUUGUUCCCAGGAAUCCUGUUUUAAUCCUGUGCAGAUCACCUCCUUACUCUCUAUUGGGAGAGAAACAGCAAGUGGUCAAGCACCGUGCUGAUUAUAAAACUAAAAGACCCCCUCACGAAUUGGUUUCCACUCAAGUCAUGACCCUGGACAGGAGGCCCUGGGGCUCAGGCCAAUGAUGCCUGACUGAGGGGUGAAAAUAACUGGAUGGGGAGCUCCUCAAGGCCGUCUGAGGAUUUCCAUUUCUAGCGCAGCAACUCAGUGCAUCCUGGAGGCAGAUUCGCCAAAGCAGGAAAGGACCUACAUUUGUCAGCUCCUACUCUGGGACCAGCUUCAGCUCGUGGUGGGAAAUGGAAGCCCGCAGGAUACAUUUCUUUCCUGGGAAAACUAAGUCCAUUUCUGUCUCAUUCAGCCAAUUUCUUGUACCUUCUGGGAUGCCCUGGAAAACUCUUCUCUGGGGUUUGAGGGACAAUUUAGGAGAGAUUUCAAUGAUCCUGGCUGGUCCAGUGCUAAGACAAAAAUGCACAAAACAGUUCAAGAACAUACAACAGGACUUUGGGGAGUGCAGAUAACAUCUAUGCAGCAAAGGCCAAGUGCUUUACCCACAUCAUCCUCAUUCAUCCUGACAUAAUCCUGCAGAAAAAAACAUGAUUACCCUUAUUGUAUACAGAGGAGAAAGAGAGGCUUCAAGAAGUCCAGCAACUUGCCCUAAAUUGCUCAGCCAGUGAACAGCAGGGCUGAGAGUUGAACUGAGAUCUGUCCUUCCCCAAAGCCUGUGUUCAUGACUUGGGCACUCUCUACAUUGCGGAGGCAGAGUGUGGGGGUGACCUGGAGGCCUGAAUAUCAGGAGCCUCCAGUUCCUCGGAGGAGACGUUGGGUCCCCAGAGGAUGUGUUGAGAGGCCAGUAAGUGCUCCUGGGCCCCCAUCAGGAGGUAUGACAGCCACGGAGGAGCUGAGAGGGAGGUGGCGGGCCACAAGCUUGAAAGUAUAGUCAGCAGGGGCCUGGAGGAGGGGUUCCAAAGACACCGAGCCUGACAGACCAGCCUUCAGCCUCUCCCAUGCCUGGCUCUGCUGCCCGCCUGCUGGAUGGGAAAAGACGGAGGCACUGACAGGCACCCACCUCUUCCCAGCCGGGCUGUCUGCUGGCUGGAGUUGGAGGCUAGGAGCAACUUAAUGUUUACUGGGAACCCAAACUGUCCUCUGAGAAACUACCCAAUGCCAUCACCCUGGCCCUGACAUCUUCUUCCCACUCACCAGCAGCCAGGUCAGCCAGCACUUCUUGAGCUCCUAGAAAUGCCGGGUGUUCAUGCACACACACACGUACACACACACACACACACACACACACAAGUGUUCGCAUGCACGCACACGCACACGCUUCAUCCUCAACACCCCCUUCAGGGUGUCAGCCCCUGCCUUGCUGUGGGCAAGGGGGCAUUGAUUGCUUCACCUACCCACCAUCCCCUUCUCCUUUGGGGAACAGCACCCUGCUCUUCCUUAUGAUGGGUCCAUGGAGGGGUGAGGCCAAAGACCCUCCCCACCACAGGAGUGGGCAUGUGAUCCACGUCUAGCCAGACAGCCUAUUUUAUCUCCCUGGCCACAGUGAUUGGCACGGAUGAAGGCCUAGGAGAAUGGAUAGCUGAGAUAGAGAGGUUGAGGGACCUGCCCCAGGUGACACAGGAGUGACAGAGCUGAAAUCAGAAUGACGUCUGCCACAGACUCCAAAGCACGUUUCUCCACUUUCCCACCAGACUGUCAUCUUCACCAUCAGAAGCUGGUCAAGGUGACAGACAACUUCAGUGCCUUAUGUAUUUCUGCUGGUCUACUUACGGCCAAAUGGACACCCCAAAAGAGUUUUCACUUGGAUGACAGAUCUCUAACAGGCACUGGCUACCAAUGGAAUCUACAUCUAGGCAGAGGCCAUAGGCAGCUAUGGCUCAGUUCUUCAUUGGGAUAGCUGGGACAUUUCCUGGGCACCUGUAACCAUGUCCCUCUGUCCCCCUUUUCCAGUCACACCUCCAGUUUACAAAGCCCCAUGCUGCCCACAGCCCCCCAUAGCACCCCUGGCCUCACAAGGACUCCCAGAGCUAUGCUCACCCUGAUGUAGCCAGAGGCAGCUCCUUGUCUAGGAGCUAGGUGGAGAGGUGAGGCGUGGCAUGUAAGGGCCGGAAGGGACACUGGAGAAUGACUGACUGAUUAGCCAGUUUUGUUUGUUGUUGUUGUUUGUUGUUGUUGUUGUUGCUGUUUUGAGAUGGAGUCUCGCUCUGUCACCAGGCUGGAGUACAAUGGCAGGAUCUCGGCUCACUGCAACCUCUGCCUCCCGGGUUCAAGCGAUUCUCCUGCCUCAGCCUCCCCUCCCAAGUAGCUGGGACCACAGGUGCGCGCUGCCACACCCAGCUAAAUUUUGUAUUUUCAGUAGAGACGGGGUUUCACCAUGUUGGCCAAGAUGGUCUCAAUCUCUUGACCUCGUGAUCCACCCACCUUGGCCUCCCAAAGUACUGGGAUUACAGGCGUGAGCCACUGCGCCCAGCCGACCUAGCCAUUUUAUACACAGACAGCAGAGACCCGAGGGAGACUUGUCUGAGGUCAUAUAGUGUUUUAGUCCGGACUCUUUUAUUGCAAAAUGACAGAAACUCAACUCAAACUAAGUUAAACAAACAACAACAGAAAUAACUGGCUCACAUAGCUGAGAUGCCCAGGAGAACAUUGUCAGGCUCCGCUGGAUCCAGGGGUUCACAUGAGUCAUCCGCUCUGAUCUCUCUCUGCCUCUCAGCUCUGCUCUUCUCUGUGCUGACUGUACUCUCAGGCCAGGUUCCCUCAACCUGGCAGCCUCCAGCAGCUGCAGGCUGAAUCCCCCUAGCUCAGCAGCCUUCGCAGAAAGAGCACAGCUUGUUGCCGAUAACCACAUCCACAGUCCUAGGGUGGACACUAAUUGAAUUGACUUAAGUUGUGUGUCCUUUUUGGCCAAUCUCUUUAGCCAAAGAGGAUGGGGUGUGCUGGUUGUUCAGGCCUGGGUCACAUGCCCACUCCCGGGACCAGGGAAGGGGGAUUAGUUCCACCCACCCCAUGUGGACUGUGAGUCGGGGAGGGAGGCCCGCUGAAGGGAUGCCAGGGUGCUGACCCUUAGGAAGGAGAUGCAGACCACGAGCAGGCAAAGCAACCAACAUCCACUCCACCAAGCAAGUCUGAACACAGCAGGGCUAGAACCAGGUACCUGACUCUCAAACCCUAGACCCAGGGUUCUCAACGUUGGCUGUGUGCUGGGAUCGCCUAUAGUGCUUUAAAAAGUGAAAGUACUAGUUGGGCAUGUUGGCUCACACCUGUAAUCCCAACACUUUGAGAGGCCGAGGUGAGAGAAUCGCCUGACGCCAGGAGUUCAAGACCAGCUUGGGCAACAUAGCAAGGCCCCUAUCUCUACAAAAAAUGUAAAAAAUUAAGCCAAGAGUGGAUCACUUGAGCUGAGAAGGUCAAGGCUGCAGUGAGCUAUGAUUGUGCCACUGCACUCACCUUGGGCAACAGGGCAAGACUCUGUCUCUUAAAAAAAAAAAAAAGCAAAAGUACUAAUGUCUAUGUUCCAGCAUAGAGACUCCAAUUUAAUAAGGCUUCGGUGCAGUCUGGGCAUCAAGACUUUUUAAAUUUCCCAGGAGAUUGUAAUAUGCACCAUGUCUGAGAAACUCUGCCCUGUAUCACCUGCCACUACACAGAGAAGGGAGGUCACAUUUGCAGAUUCCAGGGAUUACAACUUGACAUCCUUGGGGACACCAUUUAGGGUGUGUGGCUCCAUUUUCCACCUGUGGAAGCUGAGGCCUAGAAGAUUUGCAGACUCUGCCCAAUGUGACAGCCAAUGUCAUCCUCUCCACCCAGCCUCCUUGGGGAAGAAGAGGCUGAAAAAGCAUCAGAGAAAAGAGAUUUUCACUACAAGAAAAGAGGAGACCACAUAGGACAUACUGUCCUUUGAGCGACGUCCCAGACAAGCAAGCUGCUAAGAGGCUGAGCUGCCAGCAGUGACCCCAGCCUGGCUGGCAAACAGCUGGCACCAGAAUCAUGCCCUGGAGCCCAAGGGUGGCUGAUGGCAACCUGCCAUAGAAACUAUUUAUAGCACGUCUUGUCCCAGGUGCUCCUGGAGCUGGCCCAGAUUAACCCCGCAGAGCCCAGAGAGGAGAGCAGAGAUCAGAGGAAGAGCGCCUCUGCAGAUGGAGAAACCGAGGCAGGAAAACCUCCACGACAUCUCCAGAGUUGAAGGGUGCAGGACGCUGAGAAGUGGGUGGGGACUUUUUCUUGGUUCCAGUCCCAGCUAUGCAGACGGCUGGCUGUGUGGCCUUGGGUAAGUCACUGCACCUGUGACUCAGUUUCCCAAAUGUAAAAUGGAGCUCCUGCUGUCACCUGGAAAGGCUAUUGUGAAAACAGAUGGCAGGUGAGCAUGCUCCUGGCUCAGGGUAUGUGAGUGUGGAUUUGGGGAGUUGGGGGGUUGCUGAAGCCAACUGGGCUUGUGGGAGGACAUCAGGACAGACACCUUUGGAAGGCAGGGGCUGGGCAAUCAGGAAGCUUUAAAUGGCAGCCAACCUUGACUCCCUGGCCUGGAGGCUGUCAGGCAACAUUAGUUGACCUCCCUUUUCCUGCUCCCCAGCAGAGACCACUCAAGAGCAGAGGGGUUGUGAUGGGCGGCCAGGGGGCACCCUCACAGAGCCAGCAGGCAGAUUCAGCAGACAGCAGGGGUGUCUCCCCAAACCUGCUUGUGCUACACACCAGGUAAGGGAGCCCAGCCCACUUCUUUCUGCCCAGAAGGCUCUGAAAAGCCCAGCUCCUCCCAAGAAGCAGUGUUCCUCUGAGAGAUGCUCAGAAGAGAAGCAUCUCCUCUGUGCCCCUCCUGAAGAGCUCAAAGUACCCAUCCCAUCCUCAGUACGCCACAGUCUUGGGAGUCAGAGAGAAGAAAGGGCAUCAAAUUCCAGCCCGGGGCAUGGUGCUCCGCGUUGGGUGGGAACUGCCUCCUCGAAUCUUGUCAGAGAUGCUCUGAAGAUGAUGUGUCUCAGCCAUAUUCAAGUCUCUCUCCUCUCAGAACUCGUUCCUACCAAACACUUGCUGGUCCCAGACACACUGGGCUGAUCUUGGCACACACUGUUCCCUCUGCUUGGAAUGCCCUCUCCCCCACCCCUUCUGUCUCAGGGGUGACCAUCCACCCCCUGGCCACUACUCAAUGUCACCUUCUCCCUGAGCAUUUCCUGAUCUCGUUAUGUGGAACUGACCUCACUGUGCUUUGCAGCCCACAGCCCCCACAACAACCCCUCCAAGACGUUGACAGUGGUGAUGGCAUAAUGUCACCUGUGCCAUCGUCCUCAUUAGAACCCGUAACCUAGUGUGCUUCAGGGUCCUCAUCUGUGAAAUGGGGCUAUGGACAGUACCUGUCUCAUUGCAUUGUUUUGAGGGUUAAAUCACUUACUAUAUGAUAUGGUUUAGCUACGUCCCCACCGAAAUCUCAACUUGAAUGGUAUCUCCCAGAAUUCCCAUGUGUUGUGGGAGGGACGAGGGACCCAGGGGGAAGUAACUGAAUCAUGGGGGCCAGUCUUUCCCAUGCUAUUCUCAUGAGAGUGAAAAAGUCUCAUAAGAUCUGAUAGGUUUAGCAGGGGUUUCCGCUUUUGCUUCUUCCACAUUUUCUCUUGCUGCCGCCAUGUAAGAAGUGCCUUUCAUCUCCCACCAUGAUUCUAAGGGUUCCCAGCCAUAUGGAACUGUAAAGUUCAAUUAAACCUUUUUCUCUUCCCCAG
rnacentral:lncRNA from 1 species